AGUGAGACAAUUUAAAAUAACAAUAUGGUCAAGAUCUAUAGUAUGUGUCAUAAUUCUAAUUAUAAUUAUCUUAAUUGGCUAUUUUCAGAGGAGACGGACAACAACAAAGCAUCGGCCGGCAUAGCAGACAAACAUAUGUUUGUGCACAAUGCGCAUCUGAGCAUUGUGUGCAUGCCGGCCAACUCUGCCGUCCCCCCCCCUGGACGUCAUAAUUGGAAAGGAAUCACCCGCAAAUUUUAAUGGGAGGUAAGUGAAUGUGAUAUUUUGCGGAUGAUUCUACUAAUUUAAUUUACUUGGGGCGGGCAAAUUUGCGCGCCCUGUUUUUCAGCGCCGUCGUCGUGGUGGAUGUCGUUGCUGCUGCCGCUGCUGCUGACUUCUGGCCGCUGGUGUUGGAUUCCGGUGGAGAUAGUCCAGUGGCGCUGGUCCGGCCACCGGAGGAUGGAGAGAGACACUCGCCACACACAUAUGCACUCUCAGCGGCUCGGGUCCGGCCGCCUAGGAUGGUGCAUGAAAUUGGAGUGUGAUUGUGUGCGAGUGUCGGGAUUGGCGUGCCUCUGGACAAGCUGUCCAAAGUUGUCGCACUCGACCAUAAUUAGGCGGCUCUGGUCCGGCCGCCUGCAGGUGAGUGAUUGUUGUAGUUGUUUUGUGCUUGUUUUUUAUUUUAUUUAUUUAUUUUAAUUGUUUUCCUCUUUUAUUUCCAGGUAUUUCUGCAGAGGCACAUCGUCGAUUAAUGGCUGGCCACGCCAUCAACAAAUACACUCUCUAUGGACCAGAGGAGUGUAUGGAAUUGAAGAGAAUGAUGGCGUGACGAAUCGUGGAGGGCGUGGCAUGUUCGCGCUCCUUGUCCAGUGCACGACAAACCUCAAGCGGCUGCUGGUCCGGCCGCCUGCAGGUAAGUACGUGUUUUUUUUUGUAGUUUGGUGAUUUUUGCAUCUUCUUUUUAUUUAUGUUUAUUUGUUCCAGGUUUCCUUGCAGGACUGCGUCAUUGGUGUUGAUUUGGAUGUUUUUUCUGCUGCUGCUGCUGCUGCUGGUUGGUGAGUAUGUGUUUUUGUUGUUUUAUUUGUAUAUUUUUUUUUGUAUUUAAUUGAUUUUUCUUUUUAUUUCAGGUUUCUCAGCUGAAGAAAUGGCCGCCUAUAUUCGCAUCCAGCGGACUUUCCUUGGACCAGGAGGAAGCGACUGGGCUUGGAGAGGAUGUAGGCGUGGAAAUUGCUGAGGGCGUGGCAUUUUUGGGCGCCCCCGUGUCAAAACAUCAGACCACGGUCAAGCGACUGCUGGUCCGGCCGCCUGUAGGUGAGAAUAUGUAUUUGUUGACAUUUGUUUUUGUAUUUGCUUUUAUUUAUUCAUUUUUUAUUUCAGAUUUCUGUGCAGGGCAGCGUCUUCGAUGUUGAAUUGGGUGCUGUUGCUGAUGCUGCUGCUGCUGGUUGGUAAGUAUGUGUUUUUGUUGUUU
rnacentral:lncRNA from 1 species